CCUACGGGAGGCAGCAGUGGGGAAUAUUGCGCAAUGGGCGAAAGCCUGACGCAGCGACGCCGCGUGAGGGAUGAAGGUCUUCGGAUCGUAAACCUCUGUCAGCAGGGAAGAACGGUCACUGUGCUAAUCAGCAGUGAAUUGACGGUACCUGCAAAGGAAGCACCGGCUAACUCCGUGCCAGCAGCCGCGGGAAUACGGAGGGUGCGAGCGUUAAUCGGAAUUACUGGGCGUAAAGCGCUCGUAGGCGGUAUGUCAAGUCAAGGGUGAAAUCCCCGCGCUCAACGUGGGAACUGCCUUUGAAACUGGCAAACUGGAGUGUGUGAGAGGAUAGUGGAAUGCCAGGUGUAGGAGUGAAAUGCGUAGAUAUCUGGAGGAACAUCAGUGGCGAAGGCGACUAUCUGGCACAUAACUGACGCUGAGGAGCGAAAGCGUGGGUAGCAAACAGGAUUAGAUACCCGUGUAGUC
rnacentral:rRNA from 1 species